rnacentral:rRNA from 1 species
GACGUAGGGCGCGAGCGUUGUCCGGAUUUAUUGGGCGUAAAGAGCUCGUAGGCGGCUUGUCGCGUCGUCCGUGAAAACUUGGGGCUCAACCCCAAGCUUGCGGUCGAUACGGGCAGGCUAGAGUUCGGUAGGGGAGACGUGGAAUUCCUGGUGUAGCGGUGAAAUGCGCAGAUAAUCAGGAGGAACACCGGUGGCGAAGGCGGGUCUCUGGGCCGAUAUUGACGCUGAGGAGCGAAAGCGUGGGGAGCGAACAGG